CACGCGCACUAUCUCGCAGUUUUGCGUCUAAACUUGGUUCUAAAUAUUAGGCGUAGCCGAAAUAUGAUUUUUUAUGUGUCAUGAAAUGUAUAGUGUGACUGUAGGCCUUGCAAAACGGUCGUGUUUUAAACUUUGUUGAGUAUAGCAUAAAUGCUGAUCUGCUAAGCUAACGUUUUUAAGCUAGGCCAAAUGUAUGAACUCUUCCCUCUCUUCCCUCUUUAAAGGUGAUUACUCAUUUUGUCUUCAUGCAGGGUGUCAAACUCAAUUUACCUGGGGACCACUGGAUGCAGAGUCUGGCCAUCAAACACACGUGUCGCAAACCAUCACAAAAUCAUUCAGGGAAAAUGAAGUCAAAAGACGAGAACGUCGAGCAAGAAUGUGUCAGGAAGUACCUGGCCAGGUUGAGGCGCGCCCUUUGACCCCCACUGAGCGUCACCCCUCCUUCAACAAGGUGCGUCUUGUCCUUCUCAGGUAGCAAGGCAAAGUCCUACAAGGGCCAAUGAGAGGUGAAAGUGUGCGGCCCUAAGUGUAAAGGUUGGCACACCUCUGGUGUAACUUCUGACAUACAAGCAGUGAGGUGGGAUGAACACAGGUGGGACCAUGAUAGAUGAUGCAAACACAGUGAGAGUGAACGUUCAUCAUUCAAACUUCUUACCUUGUCAAGCGUCCUGACGCCAGCGCAUGAGGGACCAAGUUAACAGUUUGUGAGGCUCAAGAACAUUGAUUGUAUGCACACGUUUUGUGUGCCUAUCUACACAACAUUGUACACGCACGUUUUGUGUGUCUGUCUGGACACGCACGUAAAGCAGCCGCCCCCGUAUACAUUGUGGGGACCACCCAUGGGAGUUUGUGUGCUGCAACAAUAGCCAGGAAUGACAGUUGCUCUUCAACAAACUGGCAGGGUUACCCUGGAGAACUUUUCCAACAAUCCCAGACCUCAACCAGGUUGCAAAUAAAAACUAGGAACAAUUGAGCUGUUUUCACUCUGAAUGAACUGAAAAACAAAACACAACUUGUAAAGGUAACAACACACCAUGUUUGUUAUGUAAGCAUCUACUUCCCAGUUGAUGGAAGUUCACUUUAUCACUAAAGUUGUGCUGAUAGGUCCUGGUAUCUACAUGCAUGUAAAAUGUGUGAUAUCAUGUGCGACACAAGCAGUCCUGCAGAGUGUUUAUUUGUGUGUGAUAUCAUGUGUGAUGCAAGCCAUCCUGCAGUGUAUUUAUUUGUGUGCAAUAUCAUGUCUGAUGCAAACAGUCCUGCAGCGUGUUUACUUGUGUGUGUUAGCAUGUGUGAUACGGUCAUGCUGCCUGUUUAUUUCUGUGCGAUAUCAUGUCCGAUGCAAGCAGUCCACCAGUGUGUUUACUUUUGUGUGAUAUCAUGUGCAAUACAAGCAUCUCGCAGGCUGUUUACUCGCAUGUGAUAUCAUGUGUGAUACAAGCAGUCCUGCUGCCUGUUUUUUUGUGUGUGAUAUGUCCAUUGCAAGCCGUUUUGAAGAGUGUUUACUUGUGUGUGAUAUGUGCGAUACAAGUAGUCCUGCGGCGUGUUUACUUUUGUGAUAUCAUGUGCGAUACAAGCAGUCCUGCAAGAUGUUUACUUGUGUGUAAUAUCAUGUGCAGUACAAGCAUCUCGCAGGCUGUUAACUUGCAUGUGAUAUGUGUGAUACAAGCAGUCCUGCUGCCUGUUUUUUUGUGUGCAAUAUCAUGUCCGUUACAAGCCGUUUGGAAGAGUGUUUACUUGUGUGUGAUAUCAUGUGCGAUACAAAUAGUCCUGCGGCGUGUUUACUUUUGUGAUAUCAUGUGCGAUACAAGCAGUCC